CUUCUGCCCCUUCCUCCUCUCAAAGCUGAGUGGGAAGGGGCUUCACACAAAGAUCAGGAAAGCUUGACGUAUGGCUAGUGAACUUUAGGAGGGAGAGGUACUGGGAUGUGGCUCAACCAGAGAAAAUCCCAGGCCCAUAGCUACAUGAAGACUGGUCUCUGUCCUCAAGUUGCUUACAGUUUGCAGGUGCUACACCAAUGGGUAUCAUUUGUAUCUCACAUAGGGUGAGUAUUGAUGGUUGCUCUGCCAAGCCUUUUAGUGACUCUUACCUUGCUCUUCACGCAAAGAAUAUAUCAUAUACUGCUGUGCCACCCAGGGCCAUUCUCUCACAAAUUAGAGCUCCUUGAUCCUGAUCCUCAGAGUUGUAGAAUGAAUUCCACCCUAGGAUCCAGAAAGGAGUUUUGGGGAGGGUUUUGGAAAUGGUGCGAGAAUAACCCGCAACCUAGGGAAGCAGGCUGCAUCACAAAGCAUGAAUAACCAGGCCCCACAGUGGUUCGUGGAGCUCCAAGCAGAAUCUAUCUGCCCAGAGGCAGCAUGUGGUUGGAGGGGAAAGAGCCUACCUGGUAGGAGAUGACCUAGCUGUCAGUCAUCCUUUUAAAGCUACAGGCCUUGGGGGAAAUAUUUUUCUUUUGGAACCUCAGUUUUAUCAUCUGAAAACCAAGAGGUCUGACCUCACACCCUCUGUAAAAUUCUUCCUGAGUUGACUUUCUGAUUAAACCAUUUCCUCUUGCUAUGUGC
rnacentral:lncRNA from 1 species